GGAGAGAUGCGAGAGUGGUUGAAUCGGCACGCCUGGAGAGCGUGUAGGCCCGCAAGGGCCUCUUGGGUUCGAAUCCCAAUCUCUCCG
rnacentral:tRNA from 1 species